UACAGAGGUCUCGAGCGUUGUUCGGAUUCAUUGGGCGUAAAGGGUGCGUAGGUGGCGCCGUAAGUCGGGUGUGAAAUUUCGGAGCUUAACUCCGAAACUGCAUUCGAUACUGCGGUGCUUGAGGACUGGAGAGGAGACUGGAAUUCAUGGUGUAGCAGUGAAAUGCGUAGAGAUCAUGAGGAAGACCAGUGGCGAAGGCGGGUCUCUGGACAGUUCCUGACGCUGAGGCACGAAGGUCAGGGGAGCAAACGGG
rnacentral:rRNA from 1 species